UACGAAGGGGGCUAGCGUUGCUCGGAAUUACUGGGCGUAAAGCGCACGUAGGCGGAUUGUUAAGUCGGGGGUGAAAUCCUGGAGCUCAACUCCAGAACUGCCUUCGAAACUGACGAUCUUGAGUUCGGGAGAGGUGAGUGGAACUGCGAGUGUAGAGGUGAAAUUCGUAGAUAUUCGCAAGAACACCAGUGGCGAAGGCGGCUCACUGGCCCGAUACUGACGCUGAGGCACGAAAGCGUGGG
rnacentral:rRNA from 1 species